rnacentral:rRNA from 1 species
UACGGGGGGGGCAAGCGUUGUUCGGAAUUACUGGGCGUAAAGGGCUCGUAGGUGGCCAACUAAGUCAGACGUGAAAUCCCUCGGCUUAACCGGGGAACUGCGUCUGAUACUGGAUGGCUUGAGUUUGGGAGAGGGAUGCGGAAUUCCAGGUGUAGCGGUGAAAUGCGUAGAUAUCGAGAGGAACACCUGCGGCGAAGGCGGGUUGCUGGGCCGACACUGACGCUGACAGUGCGAAAGCUAGGGGAGCGAACGGG